rnacentral:rRNA from 1 species
GUCUACGGCCAUACCACCCUGAACGCGCCCGAUCUCGUCUGAUCUCGGAAGCUAAGCAGGGUCGGGCCUGGUUAGUACUUGGAUGGGAGUUAGCGUUCUUGCAGUUGGGGGACACUGAGGAGCUGUGGGCA